GGACGCCUCUGGGGCUUCGGCCUCAAGGGAGUGGCGGACGGGUGAGUAGCGCGUGGGAACCUGCCCCUUUGUGGGGGAUAACCGAGGGAAACUUCGGCUAAUACCGCAUGCGCCCCUGGGGGAGACCUUGGGGGGAAAGAUUUAUCGCAGAGGGAGGGGCCCGCGUCGGAUUAGGUAGUUGGUGGGGUAACGGCCUACCAAGCCUGUGAUCCGUAGCUGGUCUGAGAGGAUGAUCAGCCACACUGGGACUGAGACACGGCCCAGACUCCUACGGGAGGCAGCAGUGGGGAAUAUUGGACAAUGGGCGCAAGCCUGAUCCAGCAAUGCCGCGUGAGUGAUGAAGGCCUUAGGGUUGUAAAGCUCUUUCGGCGGGGACGAUGAUGACGGUACCCGCAGAAGAAGCCCCGGCUAACUUCGUG
rnacentral:rRNA from 1 species